UACGUAGGGCGCAAGCGUUGUCCGGAAUUAUUGGGCGUAAAGAGCUCGUAGGCGGCUUGUUGCGUCGACCGUGAAAACCCGGGGCUCAACUUCGGGCCUGCGGUCGAUACGGGCGGGCUAGAGUUCGGUAGGGGAGACUGGAAUUCCUGGUGUAGCGGUGAAAUGCGCAGAUAUCAGGAGGAACACCGGUGGCGAAGGCGGGUCUCUGGGCCGAUACUGACGCUGAGGAGCGAAAGCGUGGGGAGCGAACAGG
rnacentral:rRNA from 1 species